rfam:Schistosoma mansoni, Puerto Rico, WGS project CABG01000000 data, contig: 0013
AUCCAGCUGAGGAGUCCCAAAUUGGGUGAAACAUACGUCCUGGAU